rnacentral:rRNA from 1 species
AUGCUAUGUCAUCGCAGGCGCGCGCCGUCUGACCAGCAACACAAGUGUUGCGAUUGCAAGGAGCUAGAUGUGCUAGUCACGUCGGAAAUCUGGAAGGAUCGGAACGCUAGAAUCUUUCGCAACACGGCUUCAACGACAACCAUUGUUGUUGUCAAGAUCAAAGAGGAGGCCCAUCUUUGGGCGUUGGCUGUAACCAAACACCUGCAUGAACUUAUGUCGCAAGAGUAG